rnacentral:rRNA from 1 species
UGUCGUGCCAUUAAUACUGUUAGACUAGAAUUUAGUUGAAGUGGGCGGAAUAUGUAGUGUAGCGGUGAAAUGCUUAGAUAUUACAUAGAACGCCAAUUGCGAAGGCAGCUCACUAAGCUAUAAUUGACGCUGAUGCACGAAAGCGUGGGGAUCAAACAGGAUUAGAUACCCUGGUAGUCCACGCCGUAAACGAUGAUAACUCGCUAUUGGCGAUACACAGUCAGUGGCUUAGCGAAAGCGUUAAGUUAUCCACCUGGGGAGUACGACCGCAAGGUUGAAACUCAAAGGAAUUGACGGGGGCCCGCACAAGCGGAGGAACAUGUGGUUUAAUUCGAUGAUACGCGAGGAACCUUACCUAGACUUGAACGUAUUUGGACAGAUCCAGAGAUGGAUUCUUCUUUCGGGACCAUUUACGAGGUGCUGCAUGGUUGUCGUCAGCUCGUGCCGUGAGGUGUCGGGUUAAGUCCCAUAACGAGCGCAACCCUUGCCAAUAGUUGCCAGCGAGUAAUGUCGGGGACUCUAUUGGGACUGCCGGUGUAAACCGUGAGGAAGGUGGGGAUGACGUCAAAUCAGCACGGCCCUUACGUCUAGGGCGACACACGUGUUACAAUGGCCAGUACAGAGGGUCGCUACUAAGUGAUUAGAUGCUAAUCUCAAAAACUGGUCUCAGUUCGGAUUGGAGGCUGAAACUCGCCUCCAUGAAGCUGGAUUCGCUAGUAAUCGCAUAUCAGCCAUGAUGCGGUGAAUACGUUCCCGGGCCUUGUACACACCGCCCGU